UUUCCUCUUAAACAUUCACAUGGAAAAGAAUAGGGCUACUCCUUACACAUUGUGUGCUGGCGUCAGAACAUGUUAUACUCCAACAGAAGUUCAGCAGGGACAUAUAGACAGAGUGAUGUGUUGUGUGCUGUUAGUUCAUAAAAGUUCAGGAACUAGAGAUUCAACAUACAAUCAAUGUAUAAUAAUAUCUCCUGUUUUGCUCAUUUUUUCUUCCGAAAACAUCACCAUGUUUUUCUUCCCAAUAACGAUGGCUAUAUUGGUCACCGCAACGUAAGUACAGUUCUAGGUUCCAGCUUUUGAUCCAUUCUCUUAUUUUAUUGCACUAAAACAUGCUUGAACCAUGUUUGGGAAUAUGUUAGAUAGCUCCAGCACAGGUGACUCCGUUUGCACUUGUACUUCUCAAGUGGGAGCUAUGUGUACUAAUUAUUUUGCUAGCAAACCUAAGUCUUAUUCUGUGCAUGUGUACUUGUACUUCUUAACUUGUUCUAGCAAAUAUAUGUGAAAACUAGGUAGCAUUUCUUCACACUUUUGGUGGGAAAAAUAUUGUUAAAACAUGUUUCUUCAAAUGGGAGUUAAUCAAAAAAUUGGCAGAGGCAGUGUAGGAGUAGCAGCCACGUCAUGGACGGUGAAAUGCGAACAAGGUUUCAGUCGGGGUGGUCUACACCAACUACCUUCAGCUAGGAGGACAGAAAAUAGUAGUAGGAUGAAUACAUUGGCCUUACCGGUCUGUCCAGCAACUUCAUUCCACGCCGUUAUGUUCCUAUGUUUGGAGAGACGAACUAUGAUCCGAACCGUCAGUACGCGCCUAUACCGACGGGAGAACAACUUGAGGCACUUGGAAUAGGUAUAGAGAAGAGGAAUAUCUUCCUAGGACUGCCUCUUCACUGACAAAGACAAGAAGACCGGCAGCAUCCUCAGUCAGUUUGUGUAAAUUCCCAUCGAGCAGGUGUGCGCGGCGAGCGGCUACUGAACUAGCACAAAGGAUACCAAGCAGGCUAAGGGUGAAGUACACAAUGCAGGCAAUGAGGAGAAUAAAAACAUGCAAUCCAUACACAUAGCAGCAGCUGCAAGUUCUUUUGUCUAUGAUGAUAUGAUUGCUACUUCUUAAUUUGUUUCUCUCUGUACUGCAGCACGAGGGACGUUGGACGGAUUGCAAGAAAAAAGAAGCUCAGUUCUACAGGCAGCCCCCGCCGCCCACACGGACUACUUCCUCCGGUCCUCAUCCAAGUAUGGGGCUCACAUCAGUCCAACUAUUCCUCCCUUAUCUGUCCGAGCACCUCCUGCCACGCUCCUUCACGUACGAGCUUUUGCCGGCACUGGUGCACGCCGCCACACGUUCAACGAGUGUCUUGGGACAAGUAGGAAGUAUUGUUGUUUCCGUUAAGUUCAGUAUUUAUUCUGUUUUUAGUACGUAAACAAACACACAGGAUAUUUAUAAGAGCAAAAAUUACAAAUGGAAAUCUAUAAGUUCAACUACAUAUUUUAAAACAAUUGAAAUACAAAAAUUAGAUCAGUUCAAUGAAAGAAAAAUAUCACUUCGAAAAUAUAUAUGCAGGAGGUUGGGAGCAAAAAAAAUCAUAAUUUUGCUCAGUUCAAAGAUUGGAAGCAAAAAAAUUGUAGCUAGUGGUUUUGAUGUGUCAAAAGAUGAAACAUUUGCUACUAAAAUUAAGUUUGCAUCAGAGAUAUAGCCAUUUUCUUCUAAAUAUUUUUGUGUGUAUGCUUGUAACACAAUCAGAUCAGAUCUCGAGAGACCAUAAGUUCAAGUUCACUAGUAUUUAUAAAUGUUGGUUGCGGUACUAGUAUUUACAAAUUUCUUAUAAUUUCCACAGGUCGGAGGCCGUACACAUUUCUUGUUUCUAUUGCUAUAAGUUCAAGUGAUCAAAUGCUAUAAGCUCGCAUAUUAUUCUCCAAUUAGUUCAAGUGAUAUGAACUUGUACAUUGGCUCAUCAAGGUGGUGUGCGUACCAUACAGAAACCUGGAGCAAUUUGGCAAAAAUUAUUUACAUCAGUUCAAACUCGAGGAUAUGACAAGUUUAGAUUUUUUUUUACAAAGUACUGAUCAGUACAACUUACAAAGUAGCUUCAAUCAUAAGUUCGAUUUCAUCUGUGUUUCCAUGUUAUUUGUGUAUAGUACAACGGGUAUUUGUAUUCUGUUCAUUUCAUCUACUUGCUGGUUGUAAGUCCAAUUACAUAAGAUUUUCCAUGUAGAGCCAUUCGCCUGAGGUAUCGGAAUAAUUCUAAUGUUUUUUGUGUUCAUUGGAUUUCCCGAAUGUUAGUGCAAGUAAUGCAUUCUGUUUUUGCCUGUUCACUCCAAGUGGGAGAGCAAAAGUAAGCACUGUCUGCUUAGAAGUUGUGUUUGAAACCCAUUUUUAAUAGUAAAACAAGUAAAUCAGUGUGGUAAUGCUUUAUUGUUAUGGUACUUAAGUGACUGAAAUUUUGACCAUGUGUUUAGAGUUAAGCAACUACGUAAGUUGCAUGAUGUAUUGAUCUACUUGUCAUGCUGAAGUUCAUUGGCUUCUUAAAAUUUCAAAUAUAAACAAGCUGGUGGCCGCCCAUCUCUGCAUGUAUUUUAUUUGGGAUGUAAGUCUCUCUAUAGAUCAUGUUAUGAGUAAUGCAUUUGGACGAGGUUGCUAGGAAGAUAUUUAGUUCACCUUUAAUGUGAUUUGCACUUCAUCUUUACAGAGCCAAAUCCUGGCGCGCCCAGCGGCUGCUCGUGAACCCCGCCUCCAUCAGCUCCACUUCACCAGAGCCGUCAGUCCACAACUCCAUCAUGCUCGAGCUUACGCUCUAGAUCAUCUUCCACCAUGCUCCGGCCACGGCUCCCCACUGCCAACGCAAGAUCCCAACCACUCCUGAAAAAACUGUUGUUAUCUGGUUAGGAGUUCACAUUUGCUAAAUUCCGUAGCUCUCUGGUUCACCAUUGCUAAAUUUUGUAGCUAUCUGGUUAGUAGUUCACCUUUUAUAAAAUCUAUAGUUCUCUAGUUAGAUAAACAGUGGUUAUCUUUGCAGAAACAAUGGCAGUCUACAAUUUCUGUUAUUGGUAGUAGCAGUUCAAUAUAUAUUAGAAAGAUGAAAAAAGGAAACAGUGUUGUCUUGCAUGACCACAUGAGGUGUCACCACAAAAGCAGCAGACGAUGUUUGAGGCUGUUUUGUAGGCUGCCACUGUUCUACCUGUCUGAUAACAGCGGCGGCGAGACGAACAUCGUGCGCGCCCCUGUGUGACAUGAAGCGGAGGCAUCACUAUGGCCACGUAUAGAGUGUUGGGACUGCAGCAAUUCGCAAGGUCCAAAGCGUAGAGGAUGUGCUUGUGAGCUGUGAUGUUCUGAACUUGUGAUAUAUGUAUGCAUGCAUGCUUUGUUUUGUGAUGGAUCACAUAUAGAUCAAUUCUUUUUCUUCUA